GGAAAUCUCACCAGGCCCGGACACUGGAAGGAUUGACAGACUGAGAGCUCUUUCUCGAUUCGGUGGGUGGUGGUGCAUGGCCGUUCUUGGUUGGUGGAGCGAUCUGUCUGGUUAAUUCCGAUAACGAACGAGACCCCAACCUGCUAACUAGCCCUCGGGUCCUGCUUCUGUUGGGCCCGACGGAAUGAUUCGCUUCUUAGAGGGACUCGCGGCGCCUAGCCGCACGAAGGGGGGCGAUAA
rnacentral:rRNA from 1 species